rnacentral:rRNA from 1 species
UACGUAGGGGGCGAGCGUUGUCCGGAUUUCUUGGGCGUAAAGAGCUCGUAGGCGGUUUGGCACGUCGGGUGUGAAAACUCCGGGCUCAACUCGGAGACGCCACUCGAUACUGCCAUGACUCGAGUCCGGUAGGGGAGUGCGGAAUUCCUGGUGUAGCGGUGAAAUGCGCAGAUAUCAGGAGGAACACCGGUGGCGAAGGCGGCACUCUGGGCCGGUACUGACGCUGAGGAGCGAAAGCGUGGGGAGCGAACAGG